rnacentral:lncRNA from 1 species
GAGGAGAUGAUUGGUUACAUGUUUUAUCCUCUUUUGUAGGCUUCUGCCAAUUCAAUAAGUUUCAAGAGUUAGAUCUUUCUUACAACUUAUUCCAAGGGAUCCUUCCUCCAUGUUUGAAUAAUUUGACAUCUCUGAGGUUAUUGGAUCUCUCUUCCAACCUAUUCUCCGGAAAUCUUUCUUCCCCUUUGUUACCUAAUCUCACAUCCCUGGAGUACAUCGAUCUCAGUUACAAUCAGUUUGAGGGUUCAUUCUCUUUCAGCUCUUUUGCUAAUCACUCCAAGCUUCAAGUGGUCAUACUUGGAAGGGAUAACAACAAAUUUGAGGUACAAACCGAAUAUCCAGUUGGUUGGGUUCCCCUGUUUCUGUUGAAAGCUCUUGUCCUAUCCAACUGUAAGCUCAUCGGUGAUCCUGGUUUCCUUCGACACCAAUUAAGAUUAACCGUGGUUGAUCUCUCCCAUAAUAAUUAGUCUGGAAGUUUCCCCAUUUGGCUGCUUGAUAACAAUACAAGACUAGGAUCUCUAGUUCUGAGGAAUAACUCUUUAAUGGGUCAACUACUUCCCCUGAGACCUAAUAGUCGUAUCACUUUAUUGGAUAUCUCAGACAACCGAGUUCAUGGGGAACUUCAACAAAAUGUGGCCAACAUGAUUCCAAAUAUUGAGUUUCUAAAUUUAUCCAACAAUGGUUUUGAAGGUAUUCUCCCAUCCUCGAUAGCCGAAAUGAGUUCCUUACAGUCAUUAGAUUUGUCUGCUAAUAGUUUCUCAGCGGAAGUACCAAAACAAUCGCUUGCUGCAAAAUAUUUGUGGCUUCUGAAAUUAUCAAAUUAUAAAUUUCAUGGUGAAAUAUUUUCAAGGGACUUUAACUUGACUCAGUUAGGGUUUUUGCAUUUGGACAAUAAUCAGUUCCAGGGACCACUGUCAAAUGUAAUCUCCAGAAUCUCUAGGUUAUGGGUGUUGGAUAGGUAACAUGACCGAUUUGACUACACUGGUGUUGGGCAACAAUAGUUUUAAAGGCAAAUUACCACCUGAGAUUUCUCAAUUGUUGGGGAUGAUAUUUCUUGACGUUUCUCAAAACGCUCUUUCAGGAUCUCUUCCUUCUUUGAAGAGCCUGGAGUAUUUAGAGCAUCUACAUUUGCAAGGGAAAAUGUUUACAGGAUUGAUACCUAGAGAUUUUCUCAAUUCCUCAUAUCUAUUGACUUUGGAUAUCAGAGACAACAGGUUAUUUGGAAGUAUUCCCAAUUCAAUCUCUAGACUUUUAGAGCUAAGAGGAAACCUUUUAAGUGGUUUCAUUCCAUAUCAGCUUUGUCAUUUGACUAAAAUAAGCUUGAUGGAUCUUUCAAACAACAAUUUUUCUGGGUCAAUUCCCAGAUGCUUUGGUCAUGUCGGAUUUGGAGAUUUCAAAACUGAGCACAAUGUGUAUAUACUUAUGUUAGAUUCGUAUUCAGAAAGCAAUCCUUCUAUAUAUACGGGUUACUUAAUAAAAUAUUUAUUUUUCUCUACUGAACUCCCUGAUGAAGUAGAUGAAGUUGAGUUUGUUACCAAGAAUAGGUAUAGCUCCUACAGAGUAGAUAAAAAUAUUUGUUGGGAAUUUAGAUAUUUUUAUAGGACAAUAUACAAGUAUUCUAAUUUAUAAAAACAAUGCAUUUCUUUAGUUUGGUAUAAAAAAAAUGAAACGAUAGGUAUUGGUAAUUUUUUUUAAAGUAACAAACGUUUUAUUUUAUUUGUAUUUAAGAACAAUGUUUUUUCUUAUACUAGUUAUUUUCAUUUUCUUUUGACAGAUUUUGCAAGCUUAAGCAAUUUGGAGAUACUAGAUUUGAGUUAUAAUUCCUUAAGUGGGAUUAUUCCAUUAUCUAUAAGAUUGAUGCCUCAUCUCAAGUCUUUAUCCUUGGUCGGAAAUCACCUCAAUGGUUCUUUACAAAAUCAAGGUACAUAUGUUAUGAUUUGUUUGUUUCAUAUAGAUUAGAGAAGAUAAAUAUUGUAAAAAAAAAAAAAAGUUGUAGUUAAUGUAAGCUUGAAAUAAGUAUCUUGCCUUAUAAAUUAUAUAAGCAUGUGUUUGUUCUUAAUGAAUCUUUACAACAUUUAGAGUUACCAAUGUUUAUAAUUCAUAAAGACCUCAUUAACGGUGAAUAACAACUAAUUGUAAGUAAUUGUGGAAAUAGUAAGGAAAACAAAAUGAGGGAAAAGCAAGGAAUUAGGAAAUUAUUUUGUUCCCAUAAAAAAAAUGCUAAGGAAGAAAAAGGUAAAAGAAAGUUUUAAAAAAGUGUAUUUUUAAAAAAUUUAUUUCUCUUUCCUUUAAUUUUGCUAUGGACAACCAAACAAGAAAAUCAUUUUAUAAUUCCUUUUUAUUUUUUUCGUUCUCUCUCUCUUUUUUUCCCUACUCUAUUUCUUUUCCCUCAAACUUUCUUGGUAGUAAACACAACCUAAGAUAAAUGGGGAAGAAAAUUUUCAGUUUUUUUUUUAUUUUUUUAGAAUGUUUUCUUACUUUUUAGUAUUUUAUGCAAAUAUAGGAAAAUUAUUUUCUUUUUUCUUUUUUUUUCUUGCUCCUUUUCAAACAUGAAUCACACUUUAAAAGAAAAUUAAUUUUUAAUUAGGAGUUAAGAUAAAUUUAAGGAGAAACAAUGAAUCACAGACAACAAAAAAUUAAGGAAAUUGAAUUUUUGAAAGUAAGUAUAAUCAAAUUGCUUCUUUUGAUACAAAAUUUGAAUAAAAAUUCUUUCAAUGAAAAUUCAAGGAAAGGAAAAAACAUUUUUGUCUCUAGAUUAUAAUACUAAAUUAUGUAAAAAAUCUCCUAGCAUCAUUUAUAUUCAUAUUUCUUUUUAUAGAUUUGAAAAAUUCAACAAUUUGGAAUAAACUUAUUCAAUGAAGAAUAAUUUUUAGAUUUAAAGAUUAUUAUUUAAGAUCAUAAAUAUUACCAUCAUUGUUGAUGUCUAAGAAGAUCAUAUUCAACAAUUUUUUUAAUAUGUUGUUUUUUUAUGGUAAUUAAUUGAUGUCUUGUAAUUUUUAAUAUUUAAUGAAAAACAUUAUUUUAAUUCAUCUAGAGCUCUUAAUUCAUGAAGACCUCAUUAAUGGUAAGUAAUAGCUGAAUGUAAGUUUGGAGUCAAAGACAUGUCAAGGAGAUGAUUAGUUACAUGUCUUAUUCUCUUUUGUAGGUUUCUGCCAAUUGAAUAAGCUUCAAGAGUUAGAUCUUUCUUACAACUUAUUCCAAGGGAUCCUUCCUCCAUGUUUGAAUAAUUUGACAUCUCUGAGGUUAUUGGAUCUCUCUGCCAACCUAUUCUCCGGAAAUCUUUCUUCCCCUUUAUUACCUAAUCUCACAUCCCUGGAGUACAUCGAUCUCAGUUACAAUCAGUUUGAGGGUUCAUUCUCUUUCAGCUCUUUUGCUAAUCACUCCAAGCUUCAAGUGGU